AGUCCAAACACUCCCGCUGCCUGCUCCAUACAGCAGUGGAGCUUAUUUUUAGUUCAGUUCACAGAUUGUAACUGCAGGAAGAAGUGUGGUUGGAACUCUGUCGCUUUUCGCGUUAUAUUCUCCUUCGACAACAUUCUGAAGUACUGGAGAUGCUACGAUUUCUCCGAAUCGCGGGAAGUUGUCUGCACAGUACAGGAGAGUCGCUGGCGGUGAAGAGCUGUUGCGGUGGUAGGAAGCCCGCGAUCUCAAACGCUGUACCACAUGGCGGAGCUAGGAAUGUGACGGAUUUCCAACAAUUUAACAUCUACAGAACUCUGUCGGAGAGGAAGGAGUCCCACUCCUGGAAAUGCAUUCUGUCAAAUAAGGGCACGCCGAGGCCAGUGACUGGGCUGAUUAGGUCUUAC